rnacentral:lncRNA from 1 species
AAAGACAACGCUCUCUGCAAAUGGGUUUCGAAGAGAUAGGAUACCCAAAUUUGGGUUAUGCCUCUCCUGAUACCCAAAGUGGGUCUUCUGUAUGGGUACUUUGUUGGAAGCUAUAGGUAUUGUGUUGAAGACCCAUUUUAGAUUUGGGUUCCCAAAUAGAUCUCCUGUUGGAGACAGCCUGAAUCCAUACUGAAUCCAUACAUGGUAUUUUAGGCAGAUGCCCGUAAGGAGAAAAUCGGUCUCGCCGAUGGAUAUUAUUUAUUAUUUGGCUACUAGAAACGACAUAAAGCUCAGGUGUGCAAUGUGUGAAUAGGGAAGAAGCAAAAAAAACCUAAAGAUUAAAAGAAAAAAAAGUGUGAUGACCAGAGUCAAGAGGAAAUAAUUAGAGUAUGCGUGUCCGGC